UACGUAGGGUGCAAGCGUUGUCCGGAAUUAUUGGGCGUAAAGAGCUCGUAGGCGGUCUGUCGCGUCGGAUGUGAAAACCCAGGGCUCAACCCUGGGCCUGCAUUCGAUACGGGCAGACUAGAAUUCGGUAGGGGAGUCUGGAAUUCCUGGUGUAGCGGUGAAAUGCGCAGAUAUCAGGAGGAACACCGGUGGCGAAGGCGGGACUCUGGGCCGAUAUUGACGCUGAGGAGCGAAAGCGUGGGGAGCGAACAGG
rnacentral:rRNA from 1 species